UACAGAGGUCUCAAGCGUUGUUCGGAUUCAUUGGGCGUAAAGGGUGCGUAGGUGGCGGGGUAAGUCAGGUGUGAAAUCUCGAGGCUCAACCUCGAAACUGCACUUGAUACUGCCUUGCUAGAGUACUGGAGAGGAGAUUGGAAUUUACGGUGUAGCAGUGAAAUGCGUAGAUAUCGUAAGGAAGACCAGUGGCGAAGGCGAAUCUCUGGACAGUUACUGACACUGAGGCACGAAGGCCAGGGAGCAAACGGG
rnacentral:rRNA from 1 species